CUGGAAACNCUAAUUGAACACUUCAGUCUA
rnacentral:piRNA from 1 species